GUUACCUUCUGAGGUGCCAGUGCGCGCUGGGGCCCAAUGGCUCUGCUCCGUAUAUUUCUUCUCCGAGAGGUUGGAGACGUCCCUCUCAGAGAAGUUGGAGGGUCCCUGUCUGAGACCCCAGAUGAGGAUCUGGAAGAUCCACAAAGCUGCGUCCAGGGAAACGCGUGGAAGCUGCAGCGGAGCCUCCUGCUCAAGAGAAAAGACCAGUCUGAAACCUACAAGAAGAACAGGUGUCGGGAACUGCGGGCUGUGGGCUGGGGUCUACUGGAGGAGGUGGGCAGGUGGGGAGAAGCACCCCCUUCAGAGCUGGGGGCUUGGGGAGUGGGGGCGAGGGGAGGCGUGGAAAGAAUGAAGUGUGUGGGGCGGGCCGUCCUGGUCCCCAGGGCGCUGGGCUUUCUUCCCUGGCAGACUCCGCAGCUCCUGAGAUGUGGACGCCUUGGAGGCGGAGGGCCCAGGCCAUCUUUAUGAGCAGCAAAAGAAACCCAAAUCUUUAGCUGGUUUCUCCACCCACAGUUCCUCUUACAGAGCACUUCAGAGAGAAUUUUAAAGCGAUAUAACAAAAUUAAGUAUACACAGUGUUUUAUUUUUAAUGUACACAUUUUAAAAGAUAAUAUUAGAUACAUUAUAGAAAGGAGCAUAAUGAAAGAAAUAAUUCCCAUAAUAUAUCACCUUCUGGGCUAAAAAUUCUUUGACUAAAACCCAAUAUUUAUUUUAUAUUAAUGAAUGCCUACAUAAAUAUGUUCUUUACUGAGGGACCUUAGAAGGACAUUUUGAAGUGGAAAGAUGGUUCAUGUUCUUGAAUAAGAAGACUCAUUUUUCUCAAGAUGUGAGCUCUUUAUCAAUUUUACAUAAAUCAAAUAAAGCUAUCAAAAUUUUUAACGUUUUUGAAUUACACAUGCUUUCACUAUUGUGAUGACAUUAAGAAAAUUUUUGUAACAGUUAAAAAAGUCUUACCUUUCUAGAUAUCAAAUGUGCUAUUAAUUUCCACAAAUAGUUUGCUAACAGCUGAAAAGAUAGAUAAAUGAAUACAAGAGAGUAGAAAAUCCAGGAACACUCAAAUAUAUGUAAGAAUUCAGAACUUGAUAAUGGUGAUACUUUAUAUUAGUAGGAAAAGAUGAAUUAUUUUCAUAAAUGAAAGGCCUGCUUUUUGGAGGAAACUAGCUAGAUUUUUAUGUCACAAAAAUAAGUUCCUCAUACAAUAUAGAUUGAAAAUUUUAAAUAUGUAAGAUGAGAGAAACAUCAGAAGAAAACACAAAUGCCUUAUUUAUACAGAAGCAUUUUUGUGUUGACAAAAACCUAAGCUCACAAGCAAGCUUUCUGAAGGUUGAUCUAGCAAAAUAAAAUUAAAUCAUCCUAUAUAUAACAAAAAAUAACAAAACAUAAGGCAACAUGCUUAUAAAAUAUUUACCAUAUAUGUGUAUACAUAUUAGAUUAAAUAUGGAUUUUCAUUUUACAGAGAAUUAUUUCAAAUCAGCCUGAAAAAAAAAGACCCUAAUUUAACAUUAAGCAAAGUAGUUCUUUGCGAUCUGCAAGUGACCUACGCUCAUAGGAAAAAAUAUUUUGUGUUCCUGGUAAGAGAAGGAAUUUAAAAGAGGUAUAAAAUAUUGUUUUCUGUCCACAAAUUUUGUGAGGGUGAAAAGCAGUGAUAUUAUACUGCUGCUUAAAGUUGCUGAUGGCCUUUCAAAUGGACAAUUUGGUGCUCUGGAGGCUGGGAAGUCCAAGGUUACAGGGCUUAUCUGGUGAGGAUCUUUUCCCUGGUGGGGACUCUACAGAGUCUCAAGGUAGUGCUGGGUAUUACUUGGUGGUGGCCUCACAAGAGACAGCCAGGAAUGGAUUAAUCCACUCAUAAGGGCUUGGCCUCCCAAAGGUUCUACCUCCCAAAAGUUCUCCCUCUCAAAGGUUCUACUAGUCACUUCCCAAAUGUUCUACCAGUCACUUCCCAAAGGUUCUACCUCUCAACACUGCUACGUUGGGGGACCAAGUUUUCAACACAUGAACUUUUGGGGAACACAUUCAAACCAUAUCACCACUUUAGCUGUCUUGGCUACUAUCUGCACCUUUUACAUUCAAUCCAUGUAUAUCUUUGAAUCUAUAGUGUGUCUCUUAUAAAUAAUAUAUAUAGUUGGAUCACAUUUUUCUUAUCAGUCUGACAAUCUCUGCCUUUUGAUUGUAUUGUUUAAUCCAUUCACAUUUAAUGUUACUAUGAUAUGAUUGGAUUUACUUCUAUUUUCCUUUUUAUUUUUAAUGUUUCUUUUUUUUAUUCUUUUAUUCCUCCUUUACUACUUUUUCAUCAAGUGAAUAUUUAAAACGUUAACUAAACUCAAAGAUUCUUGUACUUAGGAGAAUGGAUGUUUUUAUACUUUUUUGGUAAACGUACAUCACAUAUAAUACUACCUUCCUGGCCUCCUUCACAGAGUGAUGUGUAAAUCAGUGAGACAGUAUGAGACAGAGACUGAGAAACCACUGUGUGUUAUACAAACACAAAGUGUUGUUUCUAAUUAAGUACUGGAGCAAUGUUUAAAAAUCAGUGUGGGACAGGUAUGGUAGCUUACGCCUGUAAUCCCAGCACUUUGAGAGGCUGAAGAGGGUGGAUCAUGAGGUCAAGAGUUCGAGACCAGCCUGGCCAACAUAGUAAAACCUCAUCUCUACUAAAAAUACAAAAAUUACUCAGGAAUGGUGGUGCAUGCCUGUAGUCCCAGGUACUUGGGAGGCUGAGGCAGGAGAAUCACUUGAACCUGGGAGGCGGAGGUUGUGGUGAGGCGAGAUAGUGCCACUGCACUUCAGCUUGGGCAACAGAGUGAGACUCCAUCUCAAAAAAAUUAGGGUGAAGUUAAGUAGUAGUGUUUUACAAAAAAUGAAUUUUGAAAGGGUGUGUGUAAGUGUUUAGGUCAUGCUUUUUUGGACUGGUUAGUAUGAAAUCUAUUUACCUAAAUUCUGUAAGACUACUUAAAAUGUUUAUUAAAUUUUGAAAUUCAUGUAACA
rnacentral:lncRNA from 1 species